rnacentral:tRNA from 1 species
GGGUGAAGGCUCAGUGGCAGAGUAUCUGCUUUGAAUCUAGAAGGUCCCAGGUUCAAUUCCUGACAUCUCCA